CCAUGACUGGUCGAGCAAUAAAAACAAAGAAGACGUGACAUUUCUGUACAAUAUUUAAUUGGCUAAUUGGAAUACUUUUGCCAAGAAAAUUGCAUUCAUUAACUUGCAUUCAUUAACGAGUAAAUCGCAAACAUAAAAUAAAGAUAAAUUAUGCACUAAAUUAUUGUGUACAGAUAGAUAAGAAUUAUAUAGAAUUACUUUAGCAGCAACAUGAAUGUGUAAAAUGAACAACCAAACAAAAACAAUAUAUGUAGAGGAGUUGGUUUCUCUCUACCUGGUGUGACAGGAAGAGUGCAACACAGAGAGCGAGAGUGGCAACGCUGGGAGUGGCGGGGGGCUGAGGAAGAGAAUGAAACACAUGAAUGGAGGGGCUGGGAAGAGGAAAGUGAGAAACAUGGGACAAUAUUUGGUUCUGUUGAAUACUCCAAUAAAUGUAAUUGCGGCUCUCUGUUUCUAAAUUUUAAGAUUGGGUUCUACAGACAUGAAGUUUGGUCACCCCUGUUCUAUGCCAAAGAGGUAAUUAGGUUUGUUGUGUAACCGUCUCAGUGUAAAGAGGCCUCUGUGGCACGGAAAAGGUUAAUGUGACAUAUGCCGAGAGUAGAACCAUCACGAUAUAGAUUAUCCUGCCCCAAUUCUGUCUCAAGCACCAGCCGUAACAAUACAGGCCUAAUCCUUAUGCAAUAACCUAGUCUCACGCACAGAAUUCCUGGAAGAGAUCAGAGGCAAAGCAGAGUGCUUCGAAAUUCCAGAGCUCCUGUGAGACAUCUUAUUACUGUGUUAGAGGUUUGCAGAACGUUCCUAGAAAACUAUCAGUUUAGUAAAUAGGCUUUUUAAUUUAUUUUUUUUAUAAAGGAAAAUAAGAAAGUUGGAGGGUUUUUGGGAGUAAAAUUGAGAUGGUCCAAGGGUUAAAUGUAACGAUUUUAUAAGAUUUAUUUAUAAAUAUAUCCAUUAUGAUAUAGUUUAUUGGCUGUGUUGAUGUAAACUGGUAAAAUGGAACAUUGGCAAAAUGUAACAAAAUACUUUUUAAUUUCCAUUGAAAUAAUACUGUAAUGUAUUGAAUAAUACAGACUGAAGCAAAAAACGUUACUUGAAGGUUCUUCAGCUAAAGAAACACGUUUUGCAUAAUGUACCCUAGCAACUGCUACAGUCUGGGUGUCCACGCACACCCUCCAUCUAUUACUUGACUACAACUCUAAUAAGUCACUGGCAGCCUAAUCAUUUCAAUUAUAACUUUCUGCCACAUUUAACUAAGAAGGAGAUGCUGUGAAUAGAUGCUACUAGACUUGGGCGCUUGUUUUUGGAUGGACACGUUUUCACCCGAAUUUAACAACAAAUGAAAUGACAUAUUUUCACCUGUGCUAGUCGAUCCUCGUUCAUUUGUUUCACUUGCGGCUCCCUGCUUGAAAUGUUUAAAAAUAGAAGCAGCAGCCUUUGCUGUCCAGUCGCUAAUCGAACAAAGGGGAGACCUGACACACGUCCCCCAUGGUGGAGCAUCUACAUAAAUAAUUAACUAGUGGGGACAUAGUGUCUCCCCAGGACCUCAUCCUCACCACGUGAAGGCUCUGCGCAGACUAAGCUUGUUUGACUUACAUUCCAAAACAAAAAUAAUUGCUGAAUGUCCUCUGAAAACUCAUAAAGUAACGGCCGAACUUUGGUUUUCGGUAACCAAAAACUUAACUUUUGGUAAAAAAAUUUUUAUUCUCUUUUGCCCGAAUGUAUUCGGACGUAAUUAACACUUUGGCAGUACCCAAGUCUAGAUGCUAUUAAUACCUAAGUCAAUGGAACAUUUUAUUUGCUUUGGAAAUAUUGAAGGUGAGUUGACUUCAUCACAACUAACACCUGCUGAUCCGAACGGGUUGCACAGUUGAUGCACUACCAGUUGAACUUAAUACAACAUAUAGUAGAAAAGUUGCAGCUGAACAACCAGUAAAGUUUGGGUGGAACUAAAAGUUGUGUUGCCAUAACUUAAUCCGACUGUCCCUGUUCUCAUCCGUGCAGCAGCACUGGCAGGAAGUAAUUUCAGAUUACUUCCUUCUAGUGCUAACUGACCAUGUGGUCAGUUAGAAGAGGAUCUAGAAACCUGCAGCCCUGUACCUGCCUCAAUAGAUAGUAUGUGUGUGUUCAGCAAUGUAUCGGAGGGUGUGUGUGUGUAAAUAGCAGUAUGUUUGUAUAUAUCAGUGUGAUUGAGUGCAUCUUUCUCUGUUAGCCUGUGUUUGUGUGUGUGUGUGUGUGUGUGUGUUUAGAGGUGUGUUUUGGUGACCUGCCAGGGGGCUUGUAAGUGGCUCCAAGAAUUGGGAUGGUGGCCCUAUUCAUAUUUUACCUUUUUAGAACUGUGCAGGCAUUGUGGUCAAUAGGUGAGCUUCACAUGCACUAAGACUCAAUAGAGAAAACGUAUCAAUAUUAAAAUCCAUUUAUAUGUUCUACCUUUGAAGGACAAUUAUAACAAAUAGUUAACUUUUGAUAUGUUUUGGGAUAUAACAGAUGAAUGGUAACUUGUGACACUAAUGCGUGCACGGUACUUUGGCUUCAAAUAUAUUCUGUUUUUUGGACCUGGAUAUUUAUCCUCCCUGUAGUGCGAGCUGCUGUGUUCUGAGUAUUCUAAAGAAAACAGUCGCCAAUCUAUCUGAAUCACUACCAGCAUCCUGAUAUGCAAUGCUUAGAGGAGUUAACCUGUGAUAACUCAUUUCAGUUUUCAGUGCUGCCAAUAGGACUUAUGUUUUAAAUAGCUAUGGCUAUUACAGCUUUAAAAAGUAGGACACAUCAUUAGGAUGUACGACAAUCGGAAGAUCAUUUUUAAAACAAAAAAAAUUCCUGAUAGUUCCCAUGUUAUUAAUGAUUCUGCUUAAUGCGUGAUGUUACAAUGUAAGGAGCAAGAUGUUAAGGAAUCUGUAAACAAAUAUAUGUUGUGAUGGUGAUGAAUCCAUCCUGUGCGGUGUCAAUAUGGACUUCUCACUUUGAGGCAUCUAAUAGAGAAUUAUUAUUAUGAGCCUCUGUCUCAUUAGAUAUAUCUUUGUCAGAAGCUCAAGGAAGCAGGCUGAAGGGUCAGUGUAGGACCCGCUUUAGGGGGGGUCUGCCUUGAUGUUGGCAGACAGGCAUUCCCUCUAAUGGCCAUUGGAGCAACUAAAUGACCUCCAUUUGUCUAAAUAUACACAGGGAUUAAGGAGAGAUCACAGGUAACUUUUUCUUUUCUUUGUUUUUUACUAUAUAUUGGGGCUGAUGUGUACUGUAGUUAUUGCUGCUGGCCCAGUAGUGAUGGGAGUGAGCGUAAGACUUCUCUUUUUAGUAUUUAUAUCUAAUAGAGAAUUAUGCAACAAAUUGGACUACAAACUGCACUGUGUUAUUUCAAUGGAGUACAUGACAAGUGCUCAUCUUCCAUUAACAUACCCCCCCAAAAAAAAAAAACAGUGCAAGGGACUAGAUACAGAUGCUAUUUAUUUAUGUUCUUCAAGGCAAGAAGAGGCUUUUCACACUCCCCAGGACAAACCAUUAUUGAGCUGCGAUGCAUAUUAUGUUGUACACGCAUGAACGCUCAGUAUUUCUCCCAUAAAUAGCUACAGGAAGACCAGGGUUGGCUGAAAAAGGUCAUAUUUUUUUAGGAACACAUAUUGGUUGUGGAUUUAAGACCCAGAAGUUGCUGUAGUAAGUACAUGAAGAGGUGUGUAGCGUUAUAAUUCAUUUAUGUUUUCAAUCCAAUAACUUUAUAAUGGAGAAAAAGGGUUUUAGGUCCACCUAGAAUGCUCCUUUAAUUGUUCCAGCUGUGUCUUUUCGUAAUGUAAUUGCAAGAUAUAUUGUAAAAUACCAGUAACAGUUUCUCAUCUUUGCUUAAUUAAACAGAAAAUACUUAAACGUUACAUAUUUGCUUUAAUCAAUAAGAGACCCAAUAUGCAUCAUGUAUUAUAGAUACAUACAGUAUGAGUGCUUAAAUCUGGGGCAACAGGCUAUAAAAUUACUAUGGUGAGCUAAUAAAAUAAAACUUUUUACAAGAAAAAAAAAGUUUGAUCACAUGAAGCAAGCUUACAUUAAUUAUAAUUACUGGCUUUAACAAAAAUCUUUCUGCUAGCACACAUGGUUGGCAGAAUUUUACAGAACUAAAAACAUUUCAACAGAGGCAGUGUGUGUGUAUAUGUGUGUGUGUGUAUAUAUAUAAUGAUGAGGUUUAAGCAUUUAUUACUCAGACGAUGCAUUUUAGAACAUACAUUGUAUGAAUAUUUCACGAACGAACCAAGUGGAGUAGCUAUAGGGACUUUCAUCUGAUAGUAAACAUGGACGAUUUUAAUGAGGUCGUGCCCGGUUUCUGCAACAUCUUUUGAAAGCCAUAAAAAGUACCCAGUUGAAUAAUUCAUAUAUGCUGUCUGAACGUAUGCUUCUUAAAACACAGUAAAUACAAAGAUUUCUAUAAAAUGGAAACAGGCGCCAUGGAAACUUUAUGCUUUUACAUUACAAGGUUUCUAUAACAUUAUUCACAUCAGGAAUGAUAUAGGUUGAAGCCUUGAAAAUAGAUCAAAAAUCCCCAAACUGCUCUUUAAAUGAUGACGUAAGUGUAAAGAAACCAAUCCAUAAAACAUUAUAAACUCAUUGUUUACGUGGAACACAGAGCACAACGUUUUGUAAAAAAUGGACUGUGAAAGAAAUUUCCUACUUGCCCUUUAACCCCUUAAGGACCAAACUUCUGGUAUAAAAGGGAAUCAUGACAUGUCACACAUGUCAUGUGUCCUUAAGGGGUUAAUGUAACUUUUUGACCAGCCUUGUCCACCCUUUCCUAACUAAUCAUAAGCGGACAGAGUAUAAUGGGAUUAACACAAUAUAUUCUGCCUUCGGUCUAAAUGAAAGGGUUUCCAGAAUAAAAUCAUUUUAAGAUGUGCAGGAAUGUUUUGCACAACUCUAGUUUUUUUUUAGCAAGAAUUGGCUAACGUUCUUGAACACACUGUCCUUAAAAUGUGAAAUCAGAAUAUUUUUGCACUAACAAAAAAAGAAAAUCUUAAAACAAAAGCCCAAAUUAGAGCGGAGUACUGAAUUCAAUGCAAUCUGCAGCAUAUAAUUUCCACCGCCAACACCCCAAAAACAGGAUGUCUGGUUACCCCAAUUAAAGGGCAUAAUUUGAUGAAGCUACAUUUUAACAAAUAUCAGAAUAAAGAACAAAAAAAGGCAGACAUUGUGAACAUUAUAUAGAUUUAUUAUGGGCUUGUUCGUCCAUUAGGGGUUAGAGAGGCCUAUAACAUCUGGGUUAUACUGAAGAUUUGGAGUUCUGCUUUGAAAACCCUUUAGGGGAGUUAAAAUUAAACAUAAUGCAGUUGACCUGAGUGACACUGUAGACUACCAUAGGGGCUCAGCACUGUAUGGUCCCCAUUUUAGAGGAUAAUUCUUCCAUCAGCUCAGUUUGUCAGUCUCGGCUUACAAUACCUUGGGUUUCCCCAACGGAGAACAUUUGUACAAAGACUGAAUAAUUGCCUUUCACGAUAAAGAUGAAGAUAUAUGGGGCUGAAUUUACAUGUCAGGUGCCUGCAGGCAUAGAACUCGAAGGUGUCCCCCGUCUCACCAAAAAAAAAAAAAAAGGCAGAUAAGGGAAGUUUAAUGAAUGUAUUAUCCUGACACUAAAAUCGAAUAUAUAUAUAUUUAUUUGAAAACUGCACACAUAUAUACGUACGUGCAUAUUUCUGGUUGUAAUGUAUUGCAUUUGACUCUGAGUACAGUGAGUGUAUGCAGGGUUAAGGAUAAUGUUUGAAGUGGUUAGGGUACAGGAGGGUUUAAGGUUAGAGAGCGGUUAAUAUCAGAGUUAGUUUACAUACGAUGUUUAGUGUUAAGAUGAUUACAAGCGGUAUUAGGGGUGUUUUUCAUUUUUGGGUUUAGAGAGUUAAGCGGAGGUAAAAUUUUGUAUUGGUGAACAUGUGUUUAAUUUUUUAGAAAAGUUAAACCUAGGAUUCAGGUAAAAGUUUUAUUUCAGAUUUAGACUUUUAAGGAAGGGAUGUUUAAUUUUGUGAGGGGUUAAAUUUAGGAUUAUAGAAAAAAGGGUGUUAAGGUUACAGGCAUAUAGCAUUUGAAAGGUUGUUUACAAAGUCCCCACCCUCCUAUGAUAGAUAGCAGAUCUGCACUGUCCCUGCAAGGCAUUUCCUGUGUGAGAGGCUGCUAGUGGGCAGAUGGGCAGUGAUCCCUUCCACUUCCUGUCCAGCCUCUCACACACAGACACUGGAGGAUCUGGGACAGCACUGAGUUUUAUACCCUCUAUAACGGUUACUGCAGCUCUGCUAUCAAGUAUAUAAGGUGGACUGGUCUACAGAUGGCACUGGCCAAAGCUCCUGAUAUUCAUUAUACAUUUAUCUUCCAAAAAAGGCACAUUAUAAGUGCUGAAAAUAGGUGACCACUACAGGAAAGGCUGAGUCAAGGCUGAGUGGUGCCUUGAGUCAACAUUCACUAAAUAUAUAUUUCUCAUUUGGCCUCUACCUACCACAGAUAGUCUCAAAGUACAGCUAAAGUAGUGAGAUCAGAGCUGGUUUUCACAGGGAAAUGUUAACAUAAUACCCUGCGUGAUUUAAUCACUUAUCAGGUGCCAGAAAAAUAAGAAUGCCAAACCUAGGAACUGAUGUAGCUUUCAAAGCGAAAUACACUUUCUGUGUGUGCCACUAUUAAAUUCAUGUUCCAUUUCAGAUCAGCUGAAUUGGUGUGCAUCUCCCACAAGGAAUAGAUUGCCCUUCAUCAUCUAAAUACACUGCUCCAAAAAAUAAAGAACACAAAAAUAACACAUCCUAGAUCUGAAUGAAUCAAAUAUUCUUCUGAAAUACUUUGUUCUUUACAUAGUUGAAUGUGCUAACAACAAAAUCACACAAAAAUUUUAAAAUGGAAAUCAAAUUUUUCAACCCAUGGAGGUCUGGAUUUGGAGUCACACUCAAAAUGAAAGUGGAAAAACACACUACAGGCUGAUCCAACUUUGAUGUAAUGUCCUUAAAACAAGUCAAAAUGAGGCUCAGUAGUGUGUGUGGCCUCCACGUGCCUGUAUGACCUCAACGCCUGUGCAUGCUCCUGAUGAGGUGGUGGAUGGUCUCCUGAGGGAUCUCCUCCCAGACCUGGACUAAAGCAUCUGCCAACUCCUGGACAGUCUGUGGUGCAACGUGACGUUGGUGGAUGGAGCGAUACAUGAUGUCCAAGAUGUGCUCAAUUUGAUUCGGGUCUGGGGAACGGGCGGGCCAGUUCAUAGCAUCAAUGCCUUCAUCUUGCAGGAACUGCUGACACACUCCAGCCACAUGAGGUCUAGCAUUGUCUUGUAUUAGGAGGAACACAGGGCCAACCGCACCAGCAUAUGGUCUUACAAGGGGUCUGAGGAUCUCAUCUCGGUACCUAAUGGCAGUCAGGCUACUUCUGGCGAGCACAUGGGGGGCUGUGCGACCCCCCCCAAAGAAAUGCCACCCCACACCAUUACUGACCCACUGCCAAACCGGUCAUGCUGGAGGAUGUUGCAGGCAGCAGAACGUUCUCCACGGCGUCUCCAGACUCGUCUGUCACAUGUGCUCAGUGUGAACCUGCUUUCAUCUAUGAAGAGCACAGGGCGCCAGUGGCAAAUUUGCCAAUCUUGGUGUUCUUUGGCAAAUGCCAAACGUCCUGCACGGUGUUGGGCUGUAAGCACAACCCCAACCUGUGGACGUUGGGCCCUCAUACCACCCUCAUGGAGUCUGUUUCUGACCAUUUGAGCAGACACAUGCACAUUUGUGGCCUGCUGGAGGUCAUUUUGCAAGACUCUGGCAGUGCUCCUCCUGUUCUUCCUUGCACAAAGGUGGAGGUAGCGGUCCUGCUGCUGGGUUGUUGUCCUCCUACGGUCUCCUCCACGUCUCCUGAUGUACUGGCCUGUCUCCUGGUAGCGCCUCCAUGCUCUGGACACUACGCUGACAGACACAGCAAACCUUCUUGCCACAGCUUGCAUUGACGUGCCAUCCUGGAUGAGCUGCACUACCUGAGCCACUUGUGUCUCAUGCUACCACUAGAGUGAAAGCACCGCCAGCAUUCAAAAGUGACCAAAACAUCAGCCAGAAAGCAUAGGAACUGAGAAGUGGUCUGUUGUCACCACCUGCAGAACCACUCCUUUAUUGGGGGUGUCUUGCUAAUUGCCUAUAAUUUCCACCUGUUGUCUAUCCCAGCAUGUGAAAUUGAUUGUCACUCAGUGUUGCUUCCUAAGUGGACAGUUUGAUUUCACAGAAGUGUGAUUGACUUGGAGUUACAUUGUGUUGUUUAAGUGUUCCCUUUAUUUUUUUGAGCAGUGUUGGACACCAUAAAGGGGGCUGAAAUAGCCGUACCGUCAUCCUUAGCAAGGCAAGUUUAUUUCCAAUUUAUGCAGUGGCUAGACCAGAUGUUCUCACAUAUAAAGCCAACACACGAAAAAUGGACCACCGCUGAAAACAUAGCACACAGAUGAAGCAUUGGAAAGGACGAAGGAAGUUUGGAAAUAAGUGAAAGGAAUAACAAUAUAUAAGAGGAUGAGAAAAAAGGAGAACAUAAGAAAGGGAGAGAAAGGUGACAAGAUAGAGGUACUUCUUAACAGGUCUAAACUGCUGCCCUGUAUUAUGAUGGAAAUAUCAGAUUUAUAAAGUAGUGGGAAAUCGUAAAAAAAUUUUUUUAAAAAACACACAUCAUUUCGUUUGACUUUUUCUACUACUUCAUAACAUUUUAUGCAUUUAAUUGAAAAAUAAUGAACACGUACCAUGAAAGGUACACUUUAAUGAACUAAAACAGUCGAGAUACGUAUUUAAGGCUUAUCCUAACCACAAUUUUACAUCCAGGUUAUCAAAGCACAUGGACCUAUGCAAUUAGCUUAUCAGAGAACACAGCAGCAGACAAAAUAAUCAACACUGCCAAGUAAAUUGCUGCUAAAUUAACUGUAUAGCGCAUUGCUACGCUCACAAACACAUUAGGAUUUUUACUAUAGCUUUGACAAACCAGCUCCGUUUUUACAGCUGUAUUCACACAAUCUUUUACAUGGCUCAGAGACCCUAUUUAUUAACAAAUCAAUUUAGACUACACUAAUUAAGAUUACAAUUUGCAGUAGUCUCCAACCAUUCACAAAACCAGUGGUUUUCAAGCUGCAAACCACCUCAAAGUGUGCCACAAACACAAUGACUUAAUG